GUUGAGCUCUCGUGGGGGUGAGGUGGGGGGAAAAAAAGCUUAGCUUUUUGUGAUAAGAGCUGGGAAUGAGAUAGGGUUUGACUUCUUUUGGAAGAAAUAAAAGAUCUAAUUCAUCUCAUAUGGACAUCCUGUCACCCAUGAGGAACUUGACUGCAGAGGGGCCGAGGCAACUGAAAAUGUGAGGCCUGGAAGAACUGAUGCUACAGGAAUUCAAAAGCCUCUCUGCUCUGGCAGCUGUGGGUCAGCCAUUGAAAUUUGCUCCCAGGAACCUACUGUGAGCAGUAAGUGAAAGCAAGUGACUAAAUAAGAAAGAGCAAGAUGGUUUGAGGAAAAAGAAGAGAGUAAGAAAGAACUCUGAGAACAAGGAAAGUUCACAAGUUUCCUGGAACAGUGCUUUCUUUUCAAGAUCUGGCUUUUCCUGGCAAGCCAUUAACAAACUUUUUCCUUUGCAUGCAGUACUUUAAUGGUAUUAAAAAGGGGGGAAGAAAGAAAAAUGGGAGAAAGAAAGAAUAAAGGAAAGAAAGCAGAAAAGAAGAAAGAAUUGGACUUCCUUCCUAUCUCAACAACUGAAUGUGCAUUUUUUGGGCCUCACUCCACAUGCAAAAUAAGAAGGUUCAGGACCUUUUAAAUAUAGCUUGCAGGAAUCAGCCAUUGUUCCAUACUUUUCUUACCUACUGUCCCUGUCCAGUGAACUCCAAAGCAGUGAGCAUACUUGCAGCCUCUGAAAUGCAAGGUCAUGAUAAUGGGUGGGGCUUCAAUCUUAAAAGCAGAGGAUAACCCGGUUCUCAAAGCAUUCAAAAGCACUGAAGGGAAGAUCCAUUAAAUGCCAAUUUCUAUCUGAAGGAAAUAGUGUAGGGAACAAAAUGUAUGCUUCUCGUUGUUCUUUAAAUGUGCUGAAUAAGGAAUCACUCAUGUUAUU